GACGAACGCUGGCGGCGUGCCUAAUACAUGCAAGUAGAACGCUGAGGUUUGGUGUUUACACUAGACUGAUGAGUUGCGAACGGGUGAGUAACGCGUAGGUAACCUGCCUCAUAGCGGGGGAUAACUAUUGGAAACGAUAGCUAAUACCGCAUAAGAGUAAUUAACACAUGUUAGUUAUUUAAAAGGAGCAAUUGCUUCACUGUGAGAUGGACCUGCGUUGUAUUAGCUAGUUGGUGAGGUAAAGGCUCACCAAGGCGACGAUACAUAGCCGACCUGAGAGGGUGAUCGGCCACACUGGGACUGAGACACGGCCCAGACUCCUACGGGAGGCAGCAGUAGGGAAUCUUCGGCAAUGGACGGAAGUCUGACCGAGCAACGCCGCGUGAGUGAAGAAGGUUUUCGGAUCGUAAAGCUCUGUUGUUAGAGAAGAACGUUGGUAGGAGUGGAAAAUCUACCAAGUGACGGUAACUAACCAGAAAGGGACGGCUAACUACGUGCCAGCAGCCGCGGUAAUACGUAGGUCCCGAGCGUUGUCCGGAUUUAUUGGGCGUAAAGCGAGCGCAGGCGGUUCUUUAAGUCUGAAGUUAAAGGCAGUGGCUUAACCAUUGUACGCUUUGGAAACUGGAGGACUUGAGUGCAGAAGGGGAGAGUGGAAUUCCAUGUGUAGCGGUGAAAUGCGUAGAUAUAUGGAGGAACACCGGUGGCGAAAGCGGCUCUCUGGUCUGUAACUGACGCUGAGGCUCGAAAGCGUGGGGAGCAAACAGGAUUAGAUACCCGUGGUAGUCCACGCCGUAAACGAUGAGUGCUAGGUGUUAGGCCCUUUCCGGGGCUUAGUGCCGCAGCUAACGCAUUAAGCACUCCGCCUGGGGAGUACGACCGCAAGGUUGAAACUCAAAGGAAUUGACGGGGGGCCCGCACAAGCGGUGGAGCAUGUGGUUUAAUUCGAAGCAACGCGAAGAACCUUACCAGGUCUUGACAUCCUUCUGACCGGCCUAGAGAUAGGCUUUCUCUUCGGAGCAGAAGUGACAGGUGGUGCAUGGUUGUCGUCAGCUCGUGUCGUGAGAUGUUGGGUUAAGUCCCGCAACGAGCGCAACCCCUAUUGUUAGUUGCCAUCAUUAAGUUGGGCACUCUAGCGAGACUGCCGGUAAUAAACCGGAGGAAGGUGGGGAUGACGUCAAAUCAUCAUGCCCCUUAUGACCUGGGCUACACACGUGCUACAAUGGUUGGUACAACGAGUCGCAAGCCGGUGACGGCAAGCUAAUCUCUUAAAGCCAAUCUCAGUUCGGAUUGUAGGCUGCAACUCGCCUACAUGAAGUCGGAAUCGCUAGUAAUCGCGGAUCAGCACGCCGCGGUGAAUACGUUCCCGGGCCUUGUACACACCGCCCGUCACACCACGAGAGUUUGUAACACCCGAAGUCGGUGAGGUAACCUUUUAGGAGCCAGCCGCCUAAGGUGGGAUAGAUGAUUGGGGUGAAGUCGUAACAAGGUAGCCGUAUCGGAAGG
rnacentral:rRNA from 1 species